rnacentral:lncRNA from 1 species
CUCGGUUUAGUAUGUCUGCUCUACAUGUUCUUGCGAGAACUGGAUCCCCUUGUACUACGUGUUUGUGUCAUGCAGUGACGGCGAUGGCAUCUCCAGAAGAAGCACUAAGAUAGGUGGAGAAUAACUGACAGGUCUUAGACUUCUGCAUCUUCAUGACCGUCGUGUACGGCGGUGGUGGAGGAAUAGGAUUUGGUGGCUUUGACUGAGCGCAUCCAUUGUCGUUACCCAAUCAUCAGUGAGUCCUCGGCAUAGAUCAAGAUAUGCAUGGUUACUAUUAGGUUAGUGACAAUACAUUCUUAUAUAGAUAUGUAACCCUGCAUGUUGCAGUGUUCUCAAUCGGCGAUACCAGGAAGAUGGUGCGCUACCAAGAAAUAUGCAUGAUCUGGUUCCAUCUCAGGGAAAAGGGGCCAGAAGUGGAUGGCCUUGACGAGGGGCGCUACAAUGGCAACCAGCAGGGCUCCAAUGAAAU